CCAAGUUGGUGGUAAAGCAUUAUCUCUUAGUUUUAGUAAUAAUAUUCAUGAUGCUGAAGCCUAUCAGACAUUAUUUUCUGGAACUGUAAUACAUUUUGCUGAUCAUGGAAUGAAAAUUUCUCGUUCCAGUUUUACGAAGGGCUAUACUUUAUUUGCAUUUGACUUAACACCUGACCUCUCUGCUAAUGAUAGCAUGUACUGGAAUUUAAUAAAAAAUGGAAGUCUCAGAAUUGAGAUACGAUUCGGUGUUGCACUUGCUCAAACAAUAAAUUGUAUAGUGUAUGCCGAGUUUGAUAAUAUUAUAGAAAUUGAUAGUACACGUCAGGUACUAUUAGAUUAUAGUAAUUAAAAAUGGGUAUACGUAUAUAUAGACCUACUUUGGUUUAUGUUAUUCAGUCAUAAAUAUGUCGGAAGUUUUAAUCAUUGAUAUUCAGUGUCUAGUUGGAUCUCGCAAUGAAUACUACCCGAAAGAAAUUUCUGUCUUGACAUUACACGAUAAAUUUAUCAGUCAUUGGAUAAUUGGACCACCUUUUAAGUACUCGAAACUUGAAAAAGGAGCUCGUCGACAAAACAAUUGGUUAACAAAAAAUUAUCAUAAAAUUGAUUGGGACGCAUCUGAAGUACCUUACAAAAAUCUACAAUCAUUAAUUGAAAAAAUUGGAGAACUUGGUAAAAAUAUUUAUGUGAGAGGUGAAUAGAAACGUAUGUUUUUACAACAAUAUUUGCCAGAACAUUGUAUUAUUAAUUUAGAAAAUAUAUUACCACGAUUCGGUUUAUUGCCAGCAGACGAAUAUUAUUGUUUAUUUCACGGAGUAAAUUAUCCUAAUUAUACUUGUACUCAACAAAACGUUUAUAAAUUAAAAAAUUGGUUAAUUGGAAAAAAAUUAAUUAUACGAGGAGGAAAAAGUGAAGACGACAUUGAAGUAGAUGUAGUGUUUAAUUCUUUUUUUAAUACAGUCAAAGAAACAUUGGUAUUACUAUUCAAUUAGUUGACGCAUUACCACUUACGGAUUUGACAAGUGCAGGAGUAUACGCUAGUGACCGAUUACCUCAUAUAUGGCCGAAACCUUGUGGAAUUAUUGUUGGCCCCGCGGAGUUUGUUGGUGCUCGAGGGGGGAACGCGAGCAAGCGGCCCAGAGGGAAAGGGAACAGGUAAAAAAACGACUCCCAAAACCCGUUUUCUCGUGGAUCGUAUACCAUUUAACAGCACGCCGCCCAUCUCCUACUACUCUACUAAUACGUAUAAGACAGAAAAAAAUUAAAGCAAUACGUUUGAGGCUUAGGAAAUCCAAAACAAUACGUAUGGGAAUAAAAGAAGCCUAAAGGAAUACGUAUUGGGUUAAAAGAAAUUAAGGCAAUACUUAUGGGGGUAAAAAAGAUUGAUUCUGAUAUAAGUGAAGAAUUGAAAGUAACUCAAUGACACAACUUUUUAAUAAUGUUUACUAGUUACACCUGAAUCAUACAGAUCAAUUGGAGACCGUUUUAAUAUGGGAAAGUCAUCUAUUAUUUCAUCUUUUCCACUUAGUCAUACAAGCGUUGAAUGAAAUUGCACCACGUUUUAUCCGUUGGCCAAAUCAAGAACGUUGCCAGAUCAUGAGACAACGUUUUAAAGAGGCUGGUGGUUUGCCUAAUGUUGUUGGGGCAAUCGAUGGAACUUUCAUAAAAAUAAAAGCACCUCAUGAAGAUAAAAAGGUUAUCCGGGGUCAGUUAGUGAUAGAAAAAUAUUCAAAAAUUAACAUAUUUAUAAUGAUAUGACAAGGAAUCCAGAUCAUACUUUGAUCAGGGUUAUUUUAUAAUUGGUGAUAAGGCAUGUCCGGUCUUUGAGUGGUGUAUUACUCUAUUUAUUGACAGAAGAAACUUGACAGAGCAUCAAAGAAACUUCAACAGAGCUUUAUCUAGACUAAAAGCAACAAUUGAAAGAAGCUGGGCUUUAUUAUUUGGACGAUUUCGUAGACUACGUUUUCUCAACAUGAAUCGAAAUGACUUCAUUCCAGAAACUAUCAUUGCAUGUUGUGAACUCCAUAAUAUUUGUCUGGAUAAUAAUGCAGAGCAAUUAGGAGAGUAUAUAGCAGAUGGUAAUCGUUAUCGAUUAGAAAAUAAUGAUCCAGUGCAAGAAUAUGAUAUUGAACUAAACACCAUUGCAGAAAAAGCCUCUCG